ACUUCCUCCCCAUCAGCCCCGCCUGUGUGCGGUGCUGAUCCUCUGGGGUCCCACCACGUGCCUCCUCUCACAGAACUGCGACUUCCUGUACCAGCCGUGCAGUAACCAGUGUGUCUGUGUGUACCGCAGAAGAUGCACCUGCCACCAACAGUGAAGCUGGAGAGCCGGGCGGGAGCAAGCAGAUCCUGCAGAAGGGGAGCCCCAGUGCGCCAGCCGGACGGACCGGAGCCGCGUCAUUUCCUGUGGGCGGAGUGACGUCAGGACCGGGACCCGGGCAGCGUGGCUGGAGGCGGCGAUGCGGACCUCUUCUCACUGAAGGCGAUGCGGGUUAUCCCAACAAACCUUGGCUCUUGACCCCAUUUUCUAAUCCUGUCGGUGAAGCCCAAGAACGGUACCAAGAGACACACAUUGCAUCGUGGGGAGUUAUUGAGUGUGCCUUCUGUGUACUUAAAAGCCGGUUUCGAUGUUUAGAAUCUUCCGGUGGUGCUCUUUAAUACUCACUAUCGAAGGUUUGCGGCAUAGUAAAUGCAUGUUGUAUUCUACACAACAUUUGUGUUGCAAACCGUUUGCCGUGACUAUUCGUCGCAGGGCUUUCCGCAACGGGAACCGUUUUUCUACUCCACCGGUGGGUAUGGACAAAGGAGAUGAGCUAGAAAAAAUUUGAUCGAGUCUUAUUUUUCCUCAGCCUUUUUAUCCACAUGUUGCAUCCUGUUGAUGGGUUGUCGCUGUUCAUCUGCCAGUUUACCCCCCUCUACCAUGGAUGGCCUACUUGUGAUGUGGACCUGCCCCACCUCCCUGUUACAAAGAGACCCUUCAGCCCUCCCAAAGUUUAAAGUACCCUCUCCGGUGUAAAGUUACAGUACCCCCCUCUACCAGGAACGGCCUACUUGUGAUGUGGACCUGCCCCAGCGCCAUGUUACAAAGAGACCCUUCAGGUCUUACGGAGUAGCCCUCUCAAAGUUAAAAGUAUCCUCUCUGGAUGUAAAGUGACACUACAGUACCCCCUUCUACCAUGGACGGCCUACUUGUGAUGUGGACCUGCCCCACCUCCCUGUUACAAAGAGACCCUUCAGGUUUCACGGAGUAGCCCUCACAAAGUUACAAGUACCGUCUCUGGAUGUAAAGUGACACUACAGUACCCCCCUCUACCAUGGACGGCCUACUUGUGAUGUGGACCUGCCCCACCUUCCUGUUACAAAGAGACCCUUCAGGUUUCACGGAGUAGCCCUCACAAAGUUAAAAGUACCCUCUCCGGAUGUAAAGUGACACUACAGUACCCCCCUCUACCAUGGACAGCCUACCUCAAGACCUUCAAUACCACCGCAUUCCUGAAAUGCCCUAUUGUAAAUUACAUUUACUAUAAUUUAAAGAAAAAACACGAAACUUCUAAAUUGAAAAUUUUAUUGAAGAAAAUUAAAC